rnacentral:lncRNA from 1 species
ACAAAAUUUGGGAAUGUGAAUUUACUCUACUUUGUGUUAAAUUAUUAAUAGUCAAGGAAAACUAGGCAUGCAAAAGAAAAGCCUUAUGUUAAAUUUUAAAUGUUAAAUUACAAUUAGAUUCAUAGUUUGGCUUGCUAUACCUUAGAAAGUUAUUUUAUAGAGCAUGCGCGAAUUUAAAUUUAUGGUACGAGUGUUUUCAUUGAUUAACUGUUUGUUGCUUUCUUUCUACUUAUUAUCUCCAUUUGGAUAAGAAAGCAUAAGCAUUCGUUUUAUACAAAUCAGAGUGACAUAUAGUCUACUUAAAUUUACAAUUGAUUAGACUUUGAUAAAUGUAACUGAAAAUUUUUGUUCAUAUCGAAGGUCAGCGUCUAAAAUUUUUAGCAUGUUGACUGAAUUCUUUAAACCUUUUGAGUUAAACUGAAAGCUGAUUAAUUAAACAAUUAUAUCUUGGUCUGGGGAACGGAAACCCAGUGAUUUUGUGUAUGACAUUUUUUGUGAUGUCUUGCGAUAUUCACAAUUUAAUGAUAUAUGCUGAUUAUCUUGUCUUCUAAAUUAAGAUAAGUAUAAAAUAAAAAUCGUUAAAAAUCUUAAUUUACUAUACGUUGAAGCUUCUUAAAAAGCUAUGUUCUUUAAAAAAAAUGGUGGUCAGCAACAAAUACCAGUCUUUUUCUGCAAAUAAUAGUGUUAUGAAAACAGCAUUACUUGGUUUUGAGCGUUCAUGCCUACAUCUUAAUACAGGGUUAGGGCAUUUACAAGUCGUACGCGUAUGAUGUUUGAGAUUUACGGGAAGUGCCGAUAUUUUCUCAUCGCUACGCGGUAGUCAGUUUCUGGAUUUGCUGUUUGGAAAAUUAGGACAAAAUUUUGGUUCGGGACACAUUUACAGAAAAUUGUAGUUUUUGUUUUCUCAGCUAAAAGAGAACUCGGCAUUACGUGGGACAUGUUUGAACAACAGGGGAAUAGUCGCUGCUUGAAACAUCCGGAAAUAGUUUUAUUCGGAAAUUAAAAACAAGUUUAUGGCGUUGUUGGUUUCGUUUGUGACAGGUUGGAACGGCAAUGUGCUAGUUUAGAUCGGCUUUGAUCCUUUUUGAUGAGAAAUUGAUGGUCUACGCGUGGUAUUUAAGGUCUCAUGUUCGCACUCUGCUUCUUUGGUUACAACCAAACUUUUAGUGAUUCCUACAACUUUUUAAGGUAGCGUUCAAUGUUCUUGCAAAAUUUAUUCCUUGGCUUUUUGGCCGUCGUUUGUGCCAACGCUCAGUUCGCUGAAUUUACAGCUUUUGAUGGUAAAUUUGAUUUCAAGGAACAUUUGACUUCCCGUAGCCCCUAUCAUAAACCCUACUUUUACGGCCCAAGCAUUGACUUUCCCACCACUUGUAAGAUAAAGCAGGUCCAUACUCUUCAAAGACAUGGUUCUCGUAAUCCUACCGGUGGAAAUGCUGCUUUCGAUGCUGUUGGAAUCGCUAACUUUCAGCAAAGAUUGCUUAAUGGAUCAGUUCCUAUUGAUUAUAGUGUCUCAGGAAAUCCAUUAAGUUUUGUACCAACUUGGACUCCUGUUAUUGAAGCUGCUAAUGCUGAUGCCCUUUCUAGCAGUGGCCGUGUCGAGUUAUUUGACAUGGGACGCCAAUUUUACGAGCGUUACCAUGAGCUCUUUAAUGCUAGUACUUACAACAUUUACACUGCCGCCCAGCAGCGCGUUGUAGAUUCUGCUCUUUGGUAUGGAUAUGGUAUGUUUGGUGAAGACGUUCAUAAUUUUACCAAUUAUAUCCUUGUUUCAGAGAAUGCUACUGCUGGAUCCAAUUCCUUGUCUAGUUACAACGCUUGCCCUGCUUCGGACGCGGAUGAUUUCACUACCCCUGCUCUCGAAGCUUGGAGAAAUGUUUACAUGCCUCCUAUUCGUCAACGUUUAAACCCUUACUUUUCCAACUAUAAUCUUACCAACGACGAUAUCCUUAACUUAUACGGAAUUUGCAGUUAUGAAAUUGCCCUUCAAGACUAUAGCGAAUUCUGUAAGUUGUUUAACUCCGUUGACUUCUUGAAUUUUGAGUAUGAGGGAGAUCUCUCAUUUUCCUAUGGAAUGGGUAACUCCGUCAAAUGGGGUUCGAUCUUUGGAGGUGCCUAUGCUAAUAGCCUUGCAAAUUCCCUCCGCAGCGUCGAAAACAAUACUCAACAAGUUUUCUUCGCCUUUACUCAUGAUGCCAAUAUUAUUCCUGUUGAAACUGCUCUUGGAUUCUUCACUGACAAUACUCCUGAGAAUCCAUUGCCUACUUCCUACCAAGUCCACUCUCACUCCAUGAAGGCUUCUGAAUUUGUCCCAUUUGCUGGUAAUUUGAUUACUGAGCUUUUCCAAUGUGAAGAUUCUAAGUACUAUGUCCGCCAUCUUGUUAACGAGGAGGUAUUCCCUUUGAGCGACUGUGGCUUUGGACCCUCUAAUACAUCCGAUGGUAUGUGUGAGUUGUACGCCUACUUGAAUUCUCCCGUUCGUGUGAAUGGUACCUCUAAUGGUAUCCAGAACUUUGACACUCUUUGCAAUGCUAGUGCUGUGGCUGCUGUUUAUCCUUAUUAA